rnacentral:rRNA from 1 species
GACGAACGCUGGCGGCGUGCUUAACACAUGCAAGUCGAACGGAAAGGCCCCUUUGGGGGUACUCGAGUGGCGAACGGGUGAGUAACACGUGAGUAACCUGCCCUUGACUUCGGGAUAACUUCAGGAAACUGGGGCUAAUACCGGAUAGGAAUCCUUGCUGCAUGGUGGGGGUUGUAAAGCUUCGGCGGUUUUGGAUGGACUCGCGGCUUAUCAGCUUGUUUGUGGGGUAGUGGCUUACCAAGGCUUUGACGGGUAGCCGGCCUGAGAGGGCGACCGGCCACAUUGGGACUGAGAUACGGCCCAGACUCCUACGGGAGGCAGCAGUGGGGAAUAUUGCACAAUGGGCGGAAGCCUGAUGCAGCAACGCCGCGUGCGGGAUGACGGCCUUCGGGUUGUAAACCGCGUUCAGCAGGGGCGAAGCUUGUGGUGACGGUACCUGCAGAAGAAGCACCGGCUAACUACGUG